rnacentral:lncRNA from 1 species
GCAGGAACGAAAUGAAAUAAGAAUUCGGCCUAUAACAUCUAUGUUAGCUUUUCUGUCUGAAUGCAUUCAAAAUAAUUCGCUUUCUUGAUGAUCCUUCUAGAAGAGUGGGAUUAGAAUAGAACAAUUUUUCUAGUUACUUCGUUCUCUAUUUCUAUUUGAGAAAAUCCUUAGGAAAAUCAUUUUGUUUCCGUUGAGCUAAGACAAGAUGUAAAUGUCUCUAAUAAACCAAAGUUAUCAUUUAAUAGCUAUUUUGCUUCAAUCUAUCCCAUUAAAAAAAACUGAAGAUUUAGUUACGAUUAGAAAUACAUUUUUCUAUCUUUAUCCAUGGAUUUUUUCCUCAUACUUAUUCAAUUGGAAGUAUUGAUCCAAUUGAAAAAAAAUUUAUGUUUCGUAAUUUCAUAAUCCAAUUUUUCAAUUUUUAGUUAGAAUAUAAUUAAAAAUUAUAUAUAAUUUAAUUGGCCCUUGGAUCCAAAACACGAGAAUGUAUAUUCUUCCUCAAAUCUUUCGUUGAGAGGUAAAGGAUUAAAUCCUUUUAAGAAAUAAAGUUUUUGCUCGGAAUAUGAAUCAAACUGAGGG